rnacentral:rRNA from 1 species
CGCUGGCGGCGUGCCUAAUACAUGCAAGUCGAGCGAACGGACGAGAAGCUUGCUUCUCUGAUGUUAGCGGCGGACGGGUGAGUAACACGUGGAUAACCUACCUAUAAGACUGGGAUAACUUCGGGAAACCGGAGCUAAUACCGGAUAAUAUUUUGAACCGCAUGGUUCAAAAGUGAAAGACGGUCUUGCUGUCACUUAUAGAUGGAUCCGCGCUGCAUUAGCUAGUUGGUAAGGUAACGGCUUACCAAGGCAACGAUGCAUAGCCGACCUGAGAGGGUGAUCGGCCACACUGGAACUGAGACACGGUCCAGACUCCUACGGGAGGCAGCAGUAGGGAAUCUUCCGCAAUGGGCGAAAGCCUGACGGAGCAACGCCGCGUGAGUGAUGAAGGUCUUCGGAUCGUAAAACUCUGUUAUUAGGGAAGAACAUAUGUGUAAGUAACUGUGCACAUCUUGACGGUACCUAAUCAGAAAGCCACGGCUAACUACGUGCCAGCAGCCGCGGUAAUACGUAGGUGGCAAGCGUUAUCCGGAAUUAUUGGGCGUAAAGCGCGCGUAGGCGGUUUUUUAAGUCUGAUGUGAAAGCCCACGGCUCAACCGUGGAGGGUCAUUGGAAACUGGAAAACUUGAGUGCAGAAGAGGAAAGUGGAAUUCCAUGUGUAGCGGUGAAAUGCGCAGAGAUAUGGAGGAACACCAGUGGCGAAGGCGACUUUCUGGUCUGUAACUGACGCUGAUGUGCGAAAGCGUGGGGAUCAAACAGGAUUAGAUACCCUGGUAGUCC